ACUAUUUUGGCAGAUUAGUGCAAUAAAUUUAGAAUUUAUUAAAUGUAGUUUUUACUAUAAAUAGUA
rnacentral:tRNA from 1 species